rnacentral:rRNA from 1 species
CCUACGGGGGGCAGCAGUAGGGAAUUUUCGUCAAUGGGCGCAAGCCUGAACGAGCAAUGCCGCGUGAACGAGGAAGGUCUUCGGAUCGUAAAGUUCUGUUGAAGGGGAAAAAGAGCGGAGCGAGGAAAUGGUCUCCGAUUGAUAUUACCCUUCGAGGCAGUCCCGGCUAACUACGUGCCAGCAGCCGCGGUAAUACGUAGGUGGCGAGCGUUAUCCGGAAUGAUUGGGCGUAAAGGUUGCGUAGGCGGCCUGCUAAGUCUGGAGUGAAAGGUACCGGCUCAACCGGUACAGGCUCGGGAAACUGGCGGGCUAGAGAGCAGGAGAGGGCGGUGGAACUCCAUGUGUAGCGGUAAAAUGCGUAGAUAUAUGGAAGAACACCAGUGGCGAAGGCGGCCGCGUGGCAUGGUGACUGACGCUGAGGCACGAAAGCGUGGGGAGCAAAUAGGAUUAGAUACCCUUGUAGUC